GUCAGUUACCCCGGGCUUUUCAGCCAGGGUUGAACCUCCUUAGCCCUGGACCAGAGAGCCCAUCAGAGUUCUUGUAAGAGGUGGCAUUUCCAGAACACUGGACAGCCAUGGGCAGCGUUAGGCUGCAUGUCCCCCAGCUGGAGUUAUAGUGAACCCCGGACUCCUGGAGUCCCCUUUGGCAGGUGUCCUGCCCUGGUUCCCACAGUCUUGAGGGUCAUGGUUCUGAGCAGAUGCAAUCUAUCCUGCCCAUUCAGCCCAGGGAGGAGUGAAACUGCUGAUGUGACAGGUAUGGAGGGAAAGCCGUCCCUUGUUGGGGAAGACGUCAGAGCUAAACCUUUUCAUUCUCCUCCUCGCUGCUCUGUGACCUCAGUGAGAUGGACAGGGAGACAGGCUGUCAGGUCGUGUUCCUCCUCCUUCUGCUGGCCUCCCAGUGCUAGCCUCUAGAGAGGGGCCAGCUGGCCUGGCUACGUCUGAGAAGCAAAAACUGGGUGCUGGCAGGGUGGAAAGAGAUCAGGUUAGAAGCUGGGUCCUUGAGCUCCAAGCCACCUUAGAGCUUGUGGGUUAACACAGUCAGGGCACCAGGUGAGGAAUCCAAAGUCCUGGGGUUUUAGAUGCUUGCUGAGUGUCACUUACCCUUCCUGAACCUGUUUCUUCAUCUGUAAAAUGGGGGCAGUAGAACCUCUCCUGCUCAUCUCACUUAGUGCCAAGUUAGAGUAAAUGAAAGCUUUAAAAAGUCAGUGAGUAACCCCCAGAAAUAAGCCCUUCCUUUGUCCUCAUCCUCCUGAUGUGUCCUGGCAUCCCGGCUGCUGAGGGAGGGGUGGGCUCCCAUCUGGGAGAGGUCCGUGUAGGUGAGCCCUGGGGCCACCAUUUGCCUCCCUCCUUUCUACACACAGCCACUAUGCCAGGCACCAUUCAGAGAAGAAAGGAACCUCGCCCUAGUUUCAGGAACGGACUUCCUAUUCCCAGCUCUGGAGUAUGACUGUCAGAUUUCGGAGGAAGCGAACUUUGAGAGGACACAGCCUAUCUCCCAUGUGCCUGACUGAUAAACUCUAGCACAGACAAGAGAUCUUUCUGGACCUUUCAGGCCUAAACAGACUGAACACCAGCUGAGCAGCUGGGGACAGGAGCAGCCCAGCUCCGCAUUGUGGUCCUGUCUCUCACUGAAGCGUCUUACUGUGACAGGGGCACUGGCAUCUUGGGCUCCCGGGAGACCAGGCUGCUUUUUAGCACGAGAUCACACUGGGGUCAGCCACAACUCCCCACGCUAGAGAAACUCACCUCUGACUUUAACUCUCCAGCUUUUUACUCUACUAAGCAAGAAAUGGGUACUUUUUUCACUGAGGAAUGACUGCUGAGCCCUGCCCAGCUGCAUUAAGCUCUGUGAUUUAAUGACUCUCCUGUUUAAUGGAAGGAAAAGCCUAAGUGGCCCCAGCUGCCAGCAGCUCUGCUAACAGGCGGGAACUCUCUGAGCAGGCUGGCAGUAGCACGGCUGCUCUGCAGCCAUCCGCCCCUCGCCCGCCCUUGUCACAGGCUUGUUGUGACAGCACCGGGGAGCUGUCCCACCAGAAGAGCAGCAGUGUGGCUUCUCUCCUCACAUCCCCGGCUGCAGCAAGUUCACGGCUAGGAAGAAACAAUCCAGCAUUGUCUUGCUCAAGACGGCUUGGCCUCUGCCAAGAAGAAACAAAAGAGAUUUUCUGAGCGUGUGCCCUUGUGUUACUAGGGCUCCUCAGUCACCUCCUGUCCAGCUAUGGGUGACAAAGGUGCCCACUAGGGACUCUCGCAGGGCCAGAGCCCACCUCGGAGCCUCUGCCUGGACGGCAGCCCUUGCGCAGCCCUGAAAUCUACCUGCCCAGUGGCCGGCUCUACCCUGUCCUUCCUCAGGCGAAUAUUAUAAGGACAUCAGCCUCCUCUGAAGGUCUGAGAAGACUGGGCCCCAGGGACCCGCCUGUCAGCAUUUCCAGAGUUCCUGCUGUGAGCGCUCACUGAAUGUCCUUCUCCUGUAUAUGUGGCUUCUUGGAGCUGUUUGCCUCAGGAAAGCCACACAUCUCUCCAGAACUAAGAACUAGACACCAGCAACGGACAGGCAGAUGCCUGAGGGAUUGCCCCAGGAAGUCCAAGCCCUGAUCAACCUGGGGGAAUGAGAGGGUGAGAAAAACAAGGGUCUUGCAGCCUUGCUGCUGCCGCGAGGGCAGUGGAGCAGUGAAGGGUGACUCCGCUGUGUAGUCAAGUCUUCUUCCCACCGCUGGUGAAGUGCAAACCAUUCCCUCAUCCCUAAAUCCAUUUUGGGGACAAGCUGCCCAUCCGACUUCUGUAAUGCUAGCUAUUAAAGAUUAAGAACUUGG